rnacentral:rRNA from 1 species
GGCACAGCUCAAUUUGAAUCUGGCUCUUUUAGAGUCCGAGUUGUAAUUUGCAGAGGGCGCUUUGGCUUUGGCAGCGGUCCAAGUUCCUUGGAACAGGACGUCACAGAGGGUGAGAAUCCCGUACGUGGUCGCUGGCUAUUGCCGUGUAAAGCCCCUUCGACGAGUCGAGUUGUUUGGGAAUGCAGCUCUAAAUGGGAGGUACAUUUCUUCUAAAGCUAAAUAUUGGCCAGAGACCGAUAGCGCACAAGUAGAGUGAUCGAAAGAUGAAAAGCACUUUGGAAAGAGAGUCAAACAGCACGUGAAAUUGUUGAAAGGGAAGCGCUUGCAGCCAGACUUGCUUACAGUUGCUCAUCCGGGUUUUUACCCGGUGCACUCUUCUGUAGGCAGGCCAGCAUCAGUUUGGGCGGUAGGAUAAAGGUCUCUGUCACGUACCUCCUUUCGGGGAGGCCUUAUAGGGGAGACGACAUACUACCAGCCUGGACUGAGGUCCGCGCAUCUGCUAGGAUGCUGGCGUAAUGGCUGUAAGCGGCCC